AAUCAUAAAGUCUUUCAGUUGACAAAAGAGAUGGGAAUGAGAGGGAGAUCCAUUAAGAUACAGAUACUACAAAUGAGUAUUUUCCAACUGAUUGCUUAAAGUGUGAGAUUUUUUCAGCCUAGCUCCAUCUCAGUUUUUGAUGCUUCUAUAGUAGCUAAACUGAGUAGGGAGAUACAAAAUUUAACCAAAGCAGCUAUUUAGAAGCAGUCCUGUAAGUUUAUAUAGAUAUGUAAGGAACUCCUGUGCAGAUUGAUAAGGGGUAUGCUGAUACUAAUUAAUUAAAAACUCAUUGAACUAAAAUGUUAGAAACACCCUUAUUUCCAUCAUGUCCGUAUCUCCUUAUUCCAAAUGCAUACAUAGACAUACAGGGAAAGAAUCUUCUUAAGAAGAAGCUGGGGUGGCUUAAUUGGAAGGAAAAAUGAGACAAGUGUCUGAUUCUGUCUUCAUGCAAAUUUUUUCCAGCACAUUCAAUCAUCUAAAAAAAUUUAUGCAUCAGGCCUUUCUGCUUUUUCCUGCCCAGAUAUAAUAUUGCCUUGUCAAAUACAACUAACAAGAAGUAGGUAGAUUGCUCUUUUUGCUUAACAUCCAUAUAUCAAAGUGAAUGCUAAUGAUUUCAACUGCUUUUUUGAAGUGCGAUGUUUCAAAAUGUUACAGAAGCAAAAAAGUUUAUCGGUAAAUCCCUUCAGCCAGCACGACCUGUGCAUCAACUGUCUUCUAAACAAGCAUCACCCAUUGCAUUAAACAUUCGGACUGAAUUACCCAGCAGCACUGAAGUAUGUUUGCAGAGUAAGGUUGACUGGGUGAGUAUUGAGGAAAUACAUUAUUAUUUAUAAAUUGGAGGUCAUCUGAUCUGUUACGUAACCAAAUGAAAACUAUUUCCAGCUUGGAGUGUCCUUGACUCUGAGUGUUUUAAAUCAGCAGUGCCAGAGCUGUUGAAAAGAAUUAUGAGUUUCAGGAAUACCUUUCUCUGGUAUUUGCAUGCCCUAAUAGCUGAAAAGUGCAGCUUAGGAAUUUAAGAUUCUUACGAAAAUCUG
rnacentral:lncRNA from 1 species